ensembl:lincRNA
CAGCAGAGCCUGGGGACAGGCGGUAACUGAAUGUUCUGUUUUGGAAAGACAGGACUGGUCAGGGGCGAAGGUGGCUGACCAGGAAACCUGACACCCUGGCGGGGCUCUGCCUGGCCACUGCUCUGGCCCUCUGCCCUCUGCCCUCCCGAAUCUUACCAGGAGAGGCGAGGGGGCGACAGAGGGAAGGAAUGGAAGCUGGUGGGACUGCACACUGUGGCCGGAACAGGAAAACCCUGCCUAUCUCCAGAGGUUUCUCCCUGCUCUCACCAACCACCCGGAAUGCCCAGGAACUCACCAUCUUCCUGCUUCGGCUUGCAAGUGCCACCAUGCCCAGCAGAUGGGUUCUUUCUUUAAAUGUGUUGCAUUUGGUCUCGAAGGACCAGAAGGCUGCAGCCUGCCCACCUCUGAGAGAACCUAAUCACCAUCGACUGGAAGAUUGGUUAUUGAUCUAUCCUGAUUGAGAAUGAUCACUAAAUGAUGAGUUCCAGAGGGAUGGGGCCUUCCUGACUGUCACACAUACAGAAGUAUUUGACGAGUGAGCUGGUAAGUUAAAAAACAGAAGUCUGUGCAGGCUGGAGAGGUCGCUCAGUGGUGAAGAGCACUGACUGCUCUUGCAGAGGACCCAGGUUUGGUUCCCAGCGCCCACAUAGCAACCCGCAUCUGUUCAUAGCUCCAGUUCCAGGGGAUCUGUCACCCUCUCCUGACCUCUGCAUGCACAUGGUGCAGACAUACAUGCAGGCAGAAGACAUGAAACAAAAACAAAUAAAAUCUAAAAACCAAAACAGAAUCUGAAACAGGUAUGGUAGCACUCACCUUUAAUCCUAGCACUCAGGAGAUCUCUAUGAGUUCAAGGUUAGGAUGAUCUACAGUUAGUUCCAAGCCAGCCAGGAAUAUACACUGAGACCUUGUCUCAAAGCAAGCAAACAACAGAAGAAAACACAAAACAAACAACAAUCCACAGAAUUCCAGGCUGGGGGUGUAGCUCGGCUGGUACACUGCUGGUCUAGCAUGCUAAAGGUCUUGGAUCCCAUCCCCAACAUUGCAUUAACGGGACAUAGUGGUUCAUGUCAGUAAUCUCAGCACUCAGAAGCCUGAGGUAGUAUUGAGAAUUCAAGGCCAGCCUCAGUUGUUUAGAAAAACCCUAGUUCACAAAAAGCAUCUCUGGUUUACCUUUUCAGUCUUCUCCUCCAAAGGCUUAGACUGGACACGGCUGGAUCGCUAUAGCUCCCACUCUCUCCAGCAGGCUCCCUGUGGGCUGAUGUCCCCACCUGGGAGGCAGGGCCCAGCUCAAGACUUGAAAGGAUAAGGAUCAUUCUUUCAUUUCUUUCCAUCUGAGGACUGGGGCAGGGACUUGGGGACAAAACCUCAUUUGAAUCACAGAACACAAAGGAUCAUGGUGUCUCCUGAGGAGUGACAAGGAGCAAAGAAUGUUAGGGUCUGUAAAGGAGACUUGUUAGAAGAAGCUGGAAACAUGCCUGUGGUGUGGCCCAGUCCUGCCCCGGUCAUGGGGAGGGCAGGUAGCCCAGGCCCUUGUGCAGGUGCCAGGCUACUUUCCAGGGACUGAGUGUCCCCGUGGCCUUGAGAUACUGUGGGGCCUUGGGAAGGAGGCAGGACUGCUUGGGUUGGACCUGGCUUUGCUGAUGACUG